UAGCAUUACCUGCUGCAUCUCUGCUCC
rnacentral:piRNA from 1 species